rnacentral:rRNA from 2 species
AGAGUUUGAUCCUGGCUCAGGACGAACGCUGGCGGCGUGCCUAAUACAUGCAAGUCGAACGAGAGCGACCGGUGCUUGCACUGGUCAAUCUAGUGGCGAACGGGUGAGUAACACGUGGGUAACCUGCCCAUCAGAGGGGGAUAACAUUCGGAAACGGAUGCUAAAACCGCAUAGGUCUUCGAACCGCAUGGUUUGAAGAGGAAAAGAGGCGCAAGCUUCUGCUGAUGGAUGGACCCGCGGUGCAUUAGCUAGUUGGUGAGGUAACGGCUCACCAAGGCCGUGAUGCAUAGCCGACCUGAGAGGGUGAUCGGCCACAUUGGGACUGAGACACGGCCCAAACUCCUACGGGAGGCAGCAGUAGGGAAUCUUCCGCAAUGGACGCAAGUCUGACGGAGCAACGCCGCGUGAGUGAAGAAGGUUUUCGGAUCGUAAAACUCUGUUGUUAGAGAAGAACAAGUGCUAGAGUAACUGUUAGCGCCUUGACGGUAUCUAACCAGAAAGCCACGGCUAACUACGUGCCAGCAGCCGCGGUAAUACGUAGGUGGCAAGCGUUGUCCGGAUUUAUUGGGCGUAAAGCGAGCGCAGGCGGUUCCUUAAGUCUGAUGUGAAAGCCCCCGGCUCAACCGGGGAGGGUCAUUGGAAACUGGGGAACUUGAGUGCAGAAGAGGAGAGUGGAAUUCCAUGUGUAGCGGUGAAAUGCGUAGAUAUAUGGAGGAACACCAGUGGCGAAGGCGACUCUCUGGUCUGUAACUGACGCUGAGGCUCGAAAGCGUGGGUAGCAAACAGGAUUAGAUACCCUGGUAGUCCACGCCGUAAACGAUGAGUGCUAAGUGUUGGUCUCAUAAGAGAUCAGUGCUGCAGCUAACGCAUUAAGCACUCCGCCUGGGGAGUACGACCGCAAGGUUGAAACUCAAAGGAAUUGACGGGGACCCGCACAAGCGGUGGAGCAUGUGGUUUAA